CCUACGGGAGGCAGCAGUGGGGAAUCUUAGACAAUGGGGGCAACCCUGAUCUAGCCAUGCCGCGUGAUCGAUGAAGGCCUUAGGGUUGUAGAGAUCUUUCGCUGGGGAAGAUAAUGACGGUACCCAGUAAAGAAGCCCCGGCUAACUCCGUGCCAGCAGCCGCGGUAAU
rnacentral:rRNA from 1 species